rnacentral:rRNA from 1 species
UACGUAGGGUGCAAGCGUUAUCCGGAAUUAUUGGGCGUAAAGAGCUCGUAGGCGGUCUGUCGCGUCUGCUGUGAAAUCCCGAGGCUCAACCUCGGGCCUGCAGUGGGUACGGGCAGACUAGAGUGCGGUAGGGGAGAUUGGAAUUCCUGGUGUAGCGGUGGAAUGCGCAGAUAUCAGGAGGAACACCGAUGGCGAAGGCAGAUCUCUGGGCCGUAACUGACGCUGAGGAGCGAAAGCGUGGGGAGCGAACAGG